UUCACCCUCAAGGUGGUGUCUCAGGAAUGGAUUUACCAAGGCCUUCUCUGCCUGCAAUGUUGGCUGGCACCACCAGGGGGCAGCGCUGACUCACUUAUUUGUGUUUAGAUACCUGUCAACUCAGUACUUCAAAGGACCUGAGACUUGGAGAAUGUAGACAAACCUGAAAAGGAUGGCUAGUGCGGAUACAAGACACACGCAAGAUACUGCUUCUCAGUCAACAUUAGGGUCACAAUUUGAGGAUAAAGAAAACUUUUUGGACACGUUCUCUGUGCCAGGAAGAUGCUAAAUGAGGUGAUGGAAGCUCAAAGAAGUAAGAAGUGAUUCAAAGCUAGACGUCUGGAGAGAGAGACACACACGCAGAGAGAGAGAGGUCAAGCG